GCGGAAAUAGCUCAGUUGGUAGAGCGCAACCUUGCCAAGGUUGAGGUCGCGGGUCCGAGCCCCGGUUUCCGCU
rnacentral:tRNA from 1 species